CCACCACCCCGGGCAGCGGGGACUUGGCUUUUCCCUAGGGGACGGGCGCCCUUGGCCUCACUGAGUGGUGAUCCUCCCGUGUGUUCCCCUUCUUGUCGGGACUGGACAGAUGGGGCCUUCUGGAAAGUAAGAGAAGUGCUUUGCACAGCUCGGGGAAGUCUGAGUCUCUUACCAGGUUUUUGGGGGGUCGGGGGGGGGGUCAAACAGAUGUACUUUCCGGCUUUCCAGGUUUUUUUUUUUUUUUGCCUGUGGGAGGACCUGCUUGCUAGGCCGCAUUGUCUCCGCAGGAGCUGACGGGCCCUGCCACCAGGUGCGGGAGGGUGACCUCGUCCCCCUCACCCGGCUCCGGUCCCCGCCCUCCCACAGAGGCAGGGCUGUUUUGUCCACCAGGACCUUCGAUGGAGUUCCAGAAGUCGUUUUUGGCUUCUGCGACUUUUAUUCCUUUUUGCUGCCCAGACUUCGCCGCAAGCAAACUAACCCCAGGCCCAGAACAUUCCCAGACACCGGACCCCGGGCCCGAGGGGCCGCCCUACGGGAAGCACAGAGGCCCUUUCGCUGCCGUCCAGACGGGAAGGCGGCUUAGGUUCCUCAGCCAGGGCCCAGCCAGCGGCGCUCUCUGGUUACACAGCCCUGAGGAGGCAUCCUGAGCCCGGAGCACAUUGGUCAAGGGCUGGCUGAGCUGGGGGGCCAGGGCGGCAGAGUGAGGUCAGCGCUGGGAAGGAGAUCCGGGGUGCUCGGCCGGGCGCCACCUGGCCCGCUACCUUUAUCCUCGGGAAUCGGAGUCUUUUCUCUGCUCAGAGAUGCCAAGUGCCGAAACCCCACGGAGCACAGCGCUCUUUCCGCGAGGCGGCGAGCUGUGGUCCGCUCGGGCUCCUUCUCUUGUCACUUAAAACCGAUGGAAAACUGAGCCAGGAGACAGAACAGGGUCUCAAGUGACUCCCUGGGCGCGAGCCCCCAAGCCCCUCCUCGCAUUGUUCAGCUUCAGGCCUGCGUGGAAGGCUGCGUAGACGAGCCUGGGGAGGGCUCGACUCGGGCCGGCCGAGUCCCCCCAGAGGUGCCGGGGGCCUCUAGCCCAGCCGGGUGGCCUCCCUCCUCCCACCGAGGCCCCUGCAGCAGGUGCUGGGCGUCCCUCGCUUUCUGCCUUCCGCCACCCUGGGCUUUGGGGCUCAUGUUCCCCGGGUCCCGCCUGCUCUUUCCUCUACAGAGACCACCAAGCUUCCUGUCGUGGUCCCAGCAGCACAUGUCUUCAGGGAAGGUUCCCUCGGCCUCCGCCCCCUCUCACCCACCUGUCGCGUUCUCGGGAUUUAAGUGCAAAAGUGAAUGCCCAGGGCGCCCGGGGGGCUCAGUCGGUUGGGCGUCCGACUUCGGCUCAGGUCAUGAUCUCAUGCGUCGUGGGUUCGAGCCCCGCGUCAGGCUCCGUGCUGACAGCUGGGAGCCCGGAGCCUGCUUCGGAUGCUGUCUCUCCUUCUCCCUCUGCCUCUCCCCUGCUGGCACUCUCUCUCUCAAAACUAAAUAUUAAAAAAAAAAAAACCUUUUUUAGCGAGUGCCCGUGUGGGGGCACCACCCCUUGACCGAGGUAACUCCUUGAAUCCCCAGCUCAGCAAGGCCUGGACAAGUGGGGCCACCAGCCUGAAGUCAUGUGGCUGCCGAGUGGCAGGAGCACAAUUGGAGGCCAGAGGAGCAAUUGGAGAGUCGGGUUGGGGGGCGAGGGGUCUGCCGGAGCGUCCCCUCCAAGGCAGCUGUAUGUCCCUUCACUGAGGCCCAGAGCAGGGCCCCCCCCACCAGGAAGCCUGCACCACCCCCACCCCACCCCCACCCUGUUUUUACUUCUCUAUUAUUCUGCUUUGUGGUUGCCUGCAAACUGCAUUUUCCCUUCCCUAGGGGCUUGGCUCUGGGCUGUUCUUUCUCCCAGGGCUUGGCUCCCGGCCUGGAGGAGGUAAACAAGGCCCUUGUCGUGGGCAGGGGUGCAGGGCCCAUCCCGCCUCACCCAUCUUGAGUCCCCGUCCUCGUCUGGCCACUGGGGUUCCAGGGAAAAGGCUGUGGGGGCAGAGGGGGCGCGGUCCGGACGUCCUCUCCCCCUCCUCUCUCCCCUCUUCCCCCCAUCCCUCCCCCUCCCCCCCUCCCCAGGCUUUCCCGCUCUGUCUGGGCCAGCUGCCACCAGACCCAACAGCGAGCAGGGAUGGCGUCGGGGAGCCCCUGGGAG